AGCUUUUUCGAAUGCAACCAAGCGAGACUAUAGGCGACAUGUACACCCGUUUCACGGAUGUCGUCAAUAGUUUAAGAGCUCUUGGAAAAUGUUUUUCGGAUUUUGAACUCGUAAAAAGAUUUUGCGUUCUCUUUCUAAGAAAUGAGAUUCAAAAGUAACUGCAAUACAAGAAGCUAAAAACCUAAACAACUUACCACUUGAAGAACAAAUUGGUUCG
rnacentral:lncRNA from 1 species